rnacentral:tRNA from 1 species
GGUAUCGUGGCAGAGUGGUAAUGCAGCCGGUUGCUAACCGGCCGAAACCGAGAGGUUGCGAGGGUUCGAUCCCUUCCGAUACCGCCA